rnacentral:tRNA from 1 species
GCCCGGGUGGCGGAACUGGCAGACGCAAGGGACUUAAAAUCCCUCGGCCUUACGGCUGUACGGGUUCGAUUCCCGUCCCGGGCACCA